GUGUGGCUGUAAUUACAAGAAGAACACUAACCUCCAAAGAACUAUUGCAGAACUAAUCAGUAACUAGUACUGAUUUGUGCUUUGCUGAAGUUCAAAGGGAGGAAGAAGAAUGAAAGGUGGAGCAUAGUGGAACACUCAUUUUUUUAUGCGUGCUUGUCUCUAUGUGUUCAUUCCUGAACUGAAGCAUGUCUGUCCUUGCCUCCAAUAUCCCCAAAUAGCACUGUCCCAGAUCAAGAAGGUAAUGGAAGCUGGAUCAGUUUUAGCUGUCAUUGACUCCUCUUUGUGAUGGUGUGGAUCAUAAGAACAUUUCCUCCUCAGUGGCCACUGGUAGGCUGGGACGUGCAUGAAGAACUGUCUGCUUUAUUCCCUUGGUGCAAUAUUAGGAUGCUAAUGGAACUUCUAAGCUUUAAAAGUGAAAUUUGUUUUCACAGAAUAAUAAUUUAUUGUAUAUCGGCUGAUCUUCUAUUAUUCAAAUCCAGUUUAUUAUCCAGUAGGUGGGAGUUUAUCUUUUAAAUUUAAUCCAUAAUUUAA